UGGGGGAUAUUGCACAAUGGGCGAAAGCCUGAUGCAGCGACGCCGCGUGGGGGAUGAAGGCCUUCGGGUUGUAAACUUCUUUUGCUCUGAACAAGGCAUGCUAAUGGGUGUGUUGAGUGUAGGGGUUGAUUAGCGCCGGCUAACUACGUGCCAGCAGCCGCGGUAAUACGUAGGGCGCGAGCGUUGUCCGGAAUUAUUGGGCGUAAAGGGCUUGUAGGUGGCUGGUUGCGUCUGUCGUGAAAGCUCAUGGCUUAACUGUGGGUUUGCGGUGGGUACGGGCUGGCUUGAGUGCAGUAGGGGAGGCUGGAAUUCCUGGUGUAGCGGUGGAAUUCGCAGAUAUCAGGAGGAAUACCGGUGGCGAAGGCGGGUCUCUGGGCUGUUACUGACACUGAGGAGCGAAAGCAUGGGGAGCGAACAGG
rnacentral:rRNA from 1 species